AUUGAAUGUUACUUGCAGCUGAUGAGCUCCAAAAAGAGAAGCCUCUUAGGUCCUGUAGUACUGGCCUGCAAGUGU
rnacentral:hammerhead_ribozyme from 2 species